rnacentral:rRNA from 1 species
CAAGCGGUGGAUGAUGUGGAUUAAUUCGAUGCAACGCGAAAAACCUUACCUACCCUUGACAUGUACGGAAGCCUGGAGAGAUUCGGGUGUGCUCGAAGGAGAGCCGUAACACAGGUGCUGCAUGGCUGUCGUCAGCUCGUGUCGUGAGAUGUUGGGUUAAGUCCCGCAACGAGCGCAACCCUUGUCAUUAGUUGCUACAUUCAGUUGAGCACUCUAAUGAGACUGCCGGUGACAAACCGGAGGAAGGUGGGGAUGACGUCAAGUCCUCAUGGCCCUUAUGGGUAGGGCUUCACACGUCAUACAAUGGUACAUACAGAGGGCCGCCAACCCGCGAGGGGGAGCUAAUCCCAGAAAGUGUAUCGCAGUCCGGAUCGCAGUCUGCAACUCGACUGCGUGAAGUUGGAAUCGCUAGUAAUCGCGGAUCAGCAUGUCGCGGUGAAUACGUUCCCGGGUCUUGUACACACC